rnacentral:lncRNA from 1 species
AGUCCUCGCCGCCCAACUCUUGAAGGUGACCAAAUGCUCCUCCCUCUUCUGAAAUGUCGAGUUCACAAUCAAAAGCUCGGAAGCCCAGGCGAAAUCAAGCAGUGACGUGCCUCCUCCGUUCCUAACCCCAAAGCCGAAGCCACCGUGCACCUCACCAUAACCACCAGCAUCAGCCCCAAUAUUACCAUUAAAGUCCCCUCCAAUAACUAACUUCUCAGAUUGUGGAAUACUACUCAUCAGAUCAUCCAAGUCCUCUUAAAAGCGCCUCCUAACCUCCUCGUCUAAGCCUGUUUGCGGCGCCGUAAGCGCUGAUGACGUUGAGGAUGCAACCUCCAAUAACCAACUUAAUAGACAUUAACCUAUCAUUCACUCGCCUAACCUCGACCAUGGACUCCCUUAAUCCCAAUCAACCAAGAUGCCCACUUUAUUCUUACCUCUCACGACCCCAAAAUACCACAGCUUAAACCAGUCUGCAUUCCUCGCCUUUGACCCUUUCCACCUAGUCUCCUGGACACAGGCUAUGUUAACCCUCCUCUUCUGAAGAACCUUCGCCAACUCAAUGGACUUACCCGUUAGAGUUCCUAC